rnacentral:rRNA from 1 species
GUUUGAUCCUGGCUCAGAACGAACGCUGGCGGCGUGCUUAACACAUGCAAGUCGAGUGCGCGUACCGUAGCAAUACGGUAUGGCGCACGGCGCACGGGUGCGUAACACGUGGGCAAUCUGCCCUUCGGUGGGGAAUAUCUUCGGGAAACCGAAGCGAAUUCCGCAUAACAUUCCUUGGACUUCGGUUCGAGGACUCAAAGCCGUAAGGCGUCGAAGGAGGAGCCCGCGCCCGAUUAGCUAGUUGGUGAGGUAACGGCUCACCAAGGCAAUGAUCGGUAGCUGGUCUGAGAGGAUGGCCAGCCACACUGGAACUGAGACACGGUCCAGACUCCUACGGGAGGCAGCAGUGGGGAAUCUUGCGCAAUGGGCGAAAGCCUGACGCAGCGACGCCGCGUGGGGGAUGAAGCAUCUCGGUGUGUAAACCCCUUUCGACUGGGACGAAUGCCUCGCAAGAGGAGUGACGGUACCAGUAGAAGAAGCCCCGGCUAACUACGUGCCAGCAGCCGCGGUAAGACGUAGGGGGCCAGCGUUGUUCGGAAUUACUGGGUGUAAAGGGUUCGUAGGCGGUGUGGCAAGUCGGGAGUGAAAUUUCUGGGCUUAACCCAGAAGCUGCUUCCGAAACUGCUGUGCUUGAGUGUGGGAGAGGCGCGUGGAAUUGCAGGUGUAGCGGUGAAAUGCGUAGAUAUCUGCAGGAACACCCGUGGCGAAAGCGGCGCGCUGGACCACUACUGACGCCGAGGAACGAAAGCUAGGGGAGCAAACAGGAUUAGAUACCCUGGUAGUCCUAGCCCUAACGAUCAGGACUUGGGGUGCCACCCGUUCGGGUGUCGUCCCGGAGCUAACGCGUUAAGUCCUGCACCUGGGGAGUACGGUCGCAAGACUGAAACUCAAAGGAAUUGACGGGGGCCCGCACAAGCGGUGGAACAUGUGGUUCAAUUCGACGCUACGCGAGGAACCUUACCUGGGCUCGAAAUGCUUCUGACCAGCUGUAGAAAAUACGGCCUUCCCGCAAGGGACAGGAGUAUAGCCCCUGCAUGGCCGGUCG